UACGAAGGGGGCUAGCGUUGUUCGGAAUUACUGGGCGUAAAGCGCACGUAGGCGGAAUGUUAAGUCAGGGGUGAAAUCCCGGGGGCUCAACCCCCGGGAACUGCCUUUGAUACUGGCAUUCUCGAGUCCGGAAGAGGUGAGUGGAAUUCCGAGUGUAGAGGUGAAAUUCGUAGAUAUUCGGAGGAACACCAGUGGCGAAGGCGGCUCACUGGUCCGGUACUGACGCUGAGGUGCGAAAGCGUGGGGGAGCAAACAGG
rnacentral:rRNA from 1 species